CGUCGUUCAGCGUCGCUGGGAGAGUUGGUGCUUCCCACUGGGCUCCUGCUCUCCGCCGGAGCCGGGGAGAUGCCCGGUGGGCGGCGGGACGGGCUGAGGGGAGCGCGGGAGGGGGUUUGGCAGUGUUGGGGACCCACCACGCUGGCAGAACUUCAGUCCAGCACAUCACAUGAGAUGGGAGAGGAAACCUGACCUUGGAUUUAUAAAAAGAAACUGGGAUAAAAGGGGACUGAUGGAGUGCCAGAAGUUGCUGUCCAGAGAGUUUGGGAGGAAGUGGGAAUUAAAGGUGGAUUGGUUGGUUUGAGAGCGGCCGCGUUGCUAAGGGGCUGCAUUGUCCGGGAAGUUACAGUGAGAAACUUCGCUCCGACGUGCGAUUUUACACCGGUCUUUGUUGACACCUCCUGAAGGUGGGCUCGGGGUGCUCAGAGCAGCAAGGCUGCAGGUCAGCCUUCUGUGCUGCUGCUGGAGUCAGGCGUACACACUCCACUGCAUUUGCUGUGCCCGGGUGGCUGUGCUAAAGUCUUUGUUCUCCUGAUUAUCAUAUUUGUAGCUACAGGAAAUCGGAAGGGAAUGCAGACAGUUCACUGGAGGAAAGGCAAUUAGCAUACAUCCAGUUAUUAUUUAACGUGAAGGAGACUGCACAAGCCCUUUGUAGCUGUGCUGGCGUGAUGAGGAGCGUCAGCAUUUCAGCAGAAAUGGUCUGAAAUGACAGCAGUGUGGCUGGUGCAGCGUUCAGUGUAACUGAUCCUUCCCACGGACUUCCAGGAAAUUUAUGGACUGACCGUGAAGAGGACCAUCAUUGUUUUGUGUGGUGAUGCUGGGGAUGCUCAGCACGGGUGGGUGGAGGCGUUGGAGCGCCCUGAUGAAUCGUACACAAUUAGUGGGGCACUUUGCAGGCUCUUCUCCAGCAGUGGAGGCUUGGCCAUGUGUGACUGCAGGGUGGUUUAGGAUCGAAAAGUACUUUUAACAGGUGCCUGAGGCAAUCAGCAUGUGACUGGUUGUGAGUUUUAUUUUAACACACCUCAGGCUGCAGUGUUGCACAGGCUCCAGCUGAUCCUUCCAGCCCGUGGGAGCUGGUGACAGAGCCCUCGUGGUGCUGGGGACACCGAGGUGUGUUAAUGACAGGGGUCAGAGCCCUCCCUGUGCUGGGACACCAGGCUGUGUGGCAGUGUCACAGUGUUGACCCAGGAGGUCCAAGGAGGAAAGUGAACUCGUUCCCGAGGCACGCUGGCGUGGGAUGGAUGCUUCCAGCGGGCUCAGCUGUCAGGUUGGUGUAAGGCUGAGAUUUAAAACCACUUUUGUGUCACUUGUGUCUCUGCUGUGGUCUCCACCUACAGUGGAUUGAAUUUAAACUCCUUCAGGCUCUGGUUUCCAGGUAAGAGCUGGAGUAGAACGAUCUGUUUCUGGUUUCAGGCAGGGUUUGAGGGAGCUGGCUCCCUGUGCUGGGUCAUUCCCGAGGGUCUGUGAGCUCUGGGGAGGUUUCUGUGUGCAGGGCAGUGGAGCCUCUGGCUGAGCUCUCGUUGUCCCUGUGGUCGCUGUUGGUGGCCUCAUCCCUGAGCUUGCAGUGACAGCUGGCAGUGGCUCUGCUGCCCUGGGACAGCUCGGGGAGGGAGCAGUGGUCGCUGUGGAAGGGCUGCACUCCGAGCUGGGGUGGUUUCCUCGGGAUGUGCUCCGUGUGCUGCAGCCCUGCUGCAGGAGCUGCCCAGGAAGGGGGCUUGGCACAAAUACAUCUGGGAAAGUUCUUAGCCAAUGCCAUGGAAUUAACCCCACUGGGAUGGACUCUGUGCCCAGAUCCUGCACUUGGCCCUGGCCAAAAGGCAUUGAAGUUAAACUUCAAUGAGUGAAAUCAGCAAGCAGGGCACCUUAUUAAUUUCCCUUUCUAAUUAUUUCUUGGGUUCAUUCUCAUUUGUUUUAAAUAAACUUUGAGAGAAGCUGA